AAUCAAAAAAAAGAAAUCAAUCAAAAUCAAAAGAAAUCAAAAGAAAUCAAAAGAAAGAAAAAGAAAGAAAAAAAACAAAAGAAAGAUAGCACCCUCAAAGUCCCAAGUUGGCUGAUGCUGAAUUCGAUCGAAAGGAAGAGAUCAACUGCCAUGUGUCAUGAAAAUCAAAAGAAAUCAAAAGAAAGAAAAAGAAAGAAAAAAAACAAAAGAAAGAUAGCACCCUCAAAGUCCCAAGUUGGCUGAUGCUGAAUUCGAUCGAAAGGAAGAGAUCAACU
rnacentral:lncRNA from 1 species